rnacentral:rRNA from 1 species
UACGAAGGGGGCUAGCGUUGUUCGGAAUUACUGGGCGUAAAGCGCACGCAGGCGGCUCGAUAAAUUAGAAGUGAAAGCCCCGGGCUUAACCUGGGAAUUGCUUUUAAGACUGUCGAGCUAGAAUCCAGAAGAGGGUAGUGGAAUUCCGAGUGUAGAGGUGAAAUUCGUAGAUAUUCGGAGGAACACCAGUGGCGAAGGCGACUACCUGGUCUGGCAUUGACGCUCAUGUGCGAAAGCGUGGGGAGCAAACAGG